rnacentral:rRNA from 1 species
AUGCAGGGUGCAACUCAUCAGCAAGGAAAGAGUGUGAAGAAGCCCAUCUAUAGAAAUAGGGAUUUCAGCUGGUCGAUUGCAAGCGCAUAUGCCCACAUGAGUCUACUUGAUGGUGCACGCCAAGGAGAUAAACAGUUCAGGGCUGAGGUUAGCACAUUUGGAAUGAUCCAACAUGUCAACUUAGUCAAACUGAUUGGUUUUUGCUGUGAAGGUGACAAAAGGAUCCUUGUUUAUGAACACAUGGCAAAUCGUUCUCUUGAUGUCCAUAUAUUCCAAGCCAAUGGUUCUAUGCUAGAUUGGAGUACAAGGUUCCGAGUUGCCAUUGGUGUUGCUAAAGGAUUGUCCUACUUGCAUGAGAGUUGUCAUGACUGCAUAAUACAUUGCGAUAUUAAGCCAGAAAACAUACUUCUCGAUGCGGCACUUGUUCCUAAAAUUGCAGAUUUUGGGAUGGCAAAACUUAUGGGAAGGAACUUUAGUCGAGUUCUGACUACAAUGAGAGGAACCAUAGGAUACCUUGCGCCUGAAUGGAUUAGUGGAGUGGCUAUUACACAAAAAGUUGAUGUUUACAUCCAUGGAAUGCUUCUUGAGGGAGAUGUGAGAACUUUCGUUGAUCAACAAUUAUAUGGUGACAUCAAUGUGGAGGAGGUUGAAAGAGCUUGCAAAGCUGCAUGUUGGUGCAUUCAAGAUCAUGACUUUGAUCGCCCGACAAUGGGCGUUGUAGUUCAAGUUCUCGAGGGUCUAGUCGAGCUUGAUAUACCCCCAGUGCCAAGAUUGCUUCAAGCUAUAUCAGGAAGCUCUUCUACAAAUUGA